rnacentral:rRNA from 1 species
ACACGACCGUACCGCAAACCGACACUGGUGCGCGAGAUGAGUAUUCUAAGGCGCUUGAGAGAACUCAGGAGAAGGAACUCGGCAAAUUGACACCGUAACUUCGGAAGAAGGUGUGCCUUUAGUAGGUGAAGGGAUUUACUCCUGGAGCCCAAUGAGGUUGCAAAAAAUCGGUGGCUGCGACUGUUUAUUAAAAACACAGCACUCUGCAAACACGAAAGUGGACGUAUAGGGUGUGACGCCUGCCCGGUGCUGGAAGAUUAAAUGAUGGGGUGCAAGCUCUUGAUUGAAAUCCCAGUAAACGGCGGCCGUAACAAUAACGGUCCUAAGGUAGCGAAAUUCCUUGUCGGGUAAGUUCCGACCUGCACGAAUGGCGUAACGAUGGCCACACUGUCUCCUCCUGAGACUCAGCGAAGUUGAAAUGUUUGUGAUGAUGCAAUCUCCCCGCGGAAAGACGGAAAGACCCCAUGAACCUUUACUGUAGCCUUGUAUUGGACUUUGACAGAUCUGUGUAGGAUAGGUGGGAGGCUUUGAAGCAGGGUCGCUAGAUCUUGUGGAGCCAACGUUGAAAUACCACCCUGGUGUGUUUGAGGUUCUAACCUAGGCCCGUAAUCCGGGUUGGGGACAGUGCAUGGUAGGCAGUUUGACUGGGGCGGUCUCCUCCCAAAGUGUAACGGAGGAGUUCGAAGGUACGCUAGUUACGGUCGGACAUCGUGACGAUAGUGCAAUGGCAUAAGCGUGCUUAACUGCGAGACUGACAAGUCGAGCAGAUGCGAAAGCAGGACAUAGUGAUCCGGUGGUUCUGUAUGGAAGGGCCAUCGCUCAACGGAUAAAAGGUACUCUGGGGAUAACAGGCUGAUACCGCCCAAGAGUCCAUAUCGACGGCGGUGUUUGGCACCUCGAUGUCGGCUCAUCUCAUCCUGGGGCUGUAGCCGGUCCCAAGGGUAUGGCUGUUCGCCAUUUAAAGAGGUACGUGAGCUGGGUUUAAAACGUCGUGAGACAGUUUGGUCCCUAUCUUCCGUGGGCGCUGCAGAUUUGAGGAAGCCAGCUCCUAGUACGAGAGGACCGGAGUGGACGCACCUCUGGUGUAUCGGUUGUCACGCCAGUGGCAUUGCCGUGUAGCUAUGUGCGGAAGAGAUAACCGCUGAAAGCAUCUAAGCGGGAAACUCGUUUCAAGAUGAGAUCUGCCGGGGCCUUGAGCCCCCUGAAGAGUCGUUCAAGACCAGGACGUUGAUAGGUCGGGUGUGGAAGCGCAGUAAUGCGUUAAGCUAACCGAUACUAAUUGCUCGCGCGGCUUGACCGU